rnacentral:rRNA from 1 species
GUGCUUAACACAUGCAAGUCGAACGGAAAGGCCCAAGCUUGCUUGGGUACUCGAGUGGCGAACGGGUGAGUAACACGUGGGUGAUCUGCCCCGCACUUCGGGAUAAGCCUGGGAAACUGGGUCUAAUACCGGAUAGGACCACUUCUUGGAGGUUGUGGUGGAAAGUUUUUUCGGUGUGGGAUGAGCUCGCGGCCUAUCAGCUUGUUGGUGGGGUAAUGGCCUACCAAGGCGUCGACGGGUAGCCGGCCUGAGAGGGUGUACGGCCACAUUGGGACUGAGAUACGGCCCAGACUCCUACGGGAGGCAGCAGUGGGGAAUAUUGCACAAUGGGCGCAAGCCUGAUGCAGCGACGCCGCGUGGGGGAUGACGGCCUUCGGGUCGUAAACUCCUUUCGCUAGGGACGAAGCGUUAUGUGACGGUACCUAGAGAAGAAGCACCGGCUAACUACGUGCCAGCAGCCGCGGUAAUACGUAGGGUGCGAGCGUUGUCCGGAAUUACUGGGCGUAAAGAGCUCGUAGGUGGUUUGUCGCGUCGUUUGUGUAAGCCCGCAGCUUAACUGCGGGACUGCAGGCGAUACGGGCAUAACUUGAGUGCUGUAGGGGAGACUGGAAUUCCUGGUGUAGCGGUGGAAUGCGCAGAUAUCAGGAGGAACACCGAUGGCGAAGGCAGGUCUCUGGGCAGUAACUAACGCUGAGGAGCGAAAGCAUGGGGAGCGAACAGGAUUAGAUACCCCGGUAGUCCAUGCCGUAAACGGUGGGCGCUAGGUGUGAGUCCCUUCCACGGGGUUCGUGCCGUAGCUAACGCAUUAAGCGCCCCGCCUGGGGAGUACGGCCGCAAGGCUAAAACUCAAAGGAAUUGACGGGGGCCCGCACAAGCGGCGGAGCAUGUGGAUUAAUUCGAUGCAACGCGAAGAACCUUACCUGGGCUUGACAUACACCAGAUCGCCGUAGAGAUACGGUUUCCCUUUGUGGUUGGUGUACAGGUGGUGCAUGGUUGUCGUC